AAUGCACGGUAGUCCAACUACUACUCUAAGCCAAGUUGAAACGGAGAAACAACUUGGACGAACAAAGAAGUAUUUGGAAGGGAAACAAGUGGAGAGAACCCAACGAAGGUACCUGAGAUUUUAGUGGUUACUAUGAGUCACCAUUACAGAGGAUGCACUCUUCUUUAGCCAGCCAUAAUGCUUUUUCAUUUUAACGAGGAAGUACCCUAAAGAUU